GCAAGAAGUGAUUAUUCAUGUUACCGCCCCAGUCUGAAAUUUCAUGACUGAUUGGUAUUGUAUGAUCUUGA